UGGGAUUUCUGGCUUGGGCAGGCGAGGCUGAACCUUCAGUGGAGCCCUCUUACGUCUCCUAAUCCUCCCAGCAACCGGUGACGCGGCCCUCAUGAGGCCCACCACUGGCCAACCCAGGAGAGCAGGGCUGGAGCGUGACCCCCAAUCCCGAGGCGCCUCCCAGCUCCCCCUACUCGGCGGCCCCGCGCUCCGCCAGCUCCUUCCCUCCCUUCCCCGCCCCAGUCCCGCAGUGCGGCAGGCUGGGGUCGGCGAGCCAGCUGAGUGGGAGCCGCGCGGUGUCCGAGGAUCCAGUCGGCGACCGAUUUCUUCCCAAGCAUAGACCCUUUCCUUCCAGGGCAAGCUCCAGCAUGGGGUGAGGUACAGAAGAGAUACUUGAAGGAUACACCCUGGCACUCAAGCACAAAACCCGCACCCUUGACCAGGGUCUCUUAUUCCAUGUCUGUGAUGGGGCAAAAUGGUAUCUUUGUUUAUAUGUCAUUUAUGUGUGUGUGUUUUCAUUUGUGCAUUUGUCUUUCCUUCCUUGGGCAUGUGCCCUUGAAGGCAGUAGCCUGGCAGAGGGUGUAAUCCCAGAAACUUGGCCUGAGAGGUGCCAGGGUCUCCAGAGACACUCAGGUGAGGGGGAAUACUCACUAGGACAUAAGCGUUGCUCUCUUUGCCAUUUGGGAUCAACCACUGACCCUUGAGAGAAGGUUGUAUUCACACAAGGGCAAACAUUCUUUUGAAUUUGACCAGCUAUAAUUAGCAGCCCAAGCAAGUGCCUGGGCUGAAAACUGUCUCUGGAAGAACCAAGAAACUCCCUCUAAAGUCCGCUCUCAGGUCUGCAGAGGGGCUCUUGCCCCUGCUUACAGAUUUUGUUUAAAACUCAUCCUCUUUGAAUAAGAUGUCUAGGAUUUAAAAUACUCCAGACCACCCCCCCACAAAAAAAAUAGUGUAUGGGCUGGGGUAGGGUGGGGGGAGUGUCAUAGAUGAAACAAAAUAGCAAAAUGUAAAUAGAUGCUGAAGGUGAGUGAGUGAUUUGUGGUACUAUUCUUCUUAGUUUUUUAUAUUUGAAAAUAUCCAUUUUAAAAAUACUCUCUUCCAAGAAGUGUUUCCUUCUUUCUCUUCUACCUGCAUCUGUCCCCUUUGCUCAGUUUAAAUUCACAUUGUCCCUCUUAUUUUAUCCUUCCUGCAGGGCACAGCACAUCCUGCUCCAGAGGCACAGGGAGAGAACAUGCUAUAUUCACCACUCCUUCCCGAGAAGGAGGGGAACAGAAGCUUCAGAGCCCACCCCUGCAGGUCUGUAGUUUUAAAGGCUUUUUUCAAUUGACCCUAUUUGCGUCCAAAAGAUGAGGACCCCAUCUAUGGGGUGUUUUAACCACAGCUCUGGGUAUUUGAGUUUCCAUCUGCUAAUAAGAAAAUGACUGAUGACUAUUUUGUUUGCUUACUCUCACUGAUCUGUUGGGUGACAUGGCCUGUAACUUAUAGUGACUAUACCUGUCUCCCGUGUCCCACUGAACUGAACUGGGGACAGAUCCAUGGGUCUUGAGGGGAACAGUCAGUGAUGAGGCCAGUCAGGUGAGGAGAGCAGCCCAAUUUGUGCUCUAAAUAGAGGGCACAGGAGGUUCUGUGCACCAAUGCUGACCCUGCUCACAGAGAGCCACCUGGACCAACUUGUCAGAAGGAUUCAGGGAUACCACUUGAGAUAAAGAAAAUAGCAGUGCAGAUUCCAUCCCCAUAAAGGGGCUUCUUUGCUACUCCAGGUUCUCAGAUCCCUGGAGCUGGGGCAAUGAGGAAAGUCUGCAGAAUGUUUGCAAACAACAUGAAUGCCCUGAGAAUUAGAAAGGAUGUCCCUUCCUUCUCCCCAGCCUUCCCUAGAAAUGGGAAAAUCACUUCUUUGAUAAUGCCAUCAACUUUUGAUAAUAUUCUUUGUGAAUUAUCCAUGCUUCCUUUUACCCCUUUCCUGGGUCCUGAGUUGCUUUCUCAAGGCCAGGCCACAGAACUUUGAGACUGUGUACUGAUGUGGUAUGAUUGUAUAUCAGGUGCUGUCCAAAGCCAAGGAGCAAUACUUUGGGUUUUCUCAGAUACCUUCCCUUGCCCAGGUCCCAGCCGUCCCUGAGCCUUUUGCCCGGGCUGCUGCUGGAUAGGUUUAUGCUUCACCGCUUCCAACCCAGGCCUGGCUGGGUUCACACUGGUUACUCAGGAAACCCUGGGUCUUCAGAGGAAGGUGUUGAUGUGGUUUAGGCCCAGGGGACUCUCCAGGCCAAGGUCCCUGGGCUAAGGUCAUAAAACAAGCUGGACACUCUUCCUUCCCUCCCGAACAGUGUACUGGAGGAAAGCUCUCCUCUUGAGUCCCUACUGCCCUUCCUGGUGGCACAAGGACCCCUCCCCCCCCCAUAUUUCUAGGACUCCCAUGGCUUUGCCUCCUCUUGGAGAAUGGAACUCCAGAGAUGGUCUAGCUGGGGAAGGUACAGAAAACAGGGAGCCUGUGCUUGCCCCUCCAUUCCCCAAGGUGUAGCUGUCAUAGAUGUUGCUGGGGCUCACAGUGACCUUCUCCCUGCAGGGCUCACGGUACAUGGUAAAGCUAGCUGCAGCCCACCUCUGAAACAGCCACAGCACCUGCUGUGAGAGAAGGAACCCCAGAAUCCGCGGACCAGUUUUCCGGGCCUCCCUCUCUUCCCUCUGCUACCGUUCCCUUUCUAGGCCUUAAGAAAACUGAAAAUAACUCUCAGCUGGAGGAGGUGGACUCCAGAGUGUGAGUGGCACGCUGCACCCUGAGGG
rnacentral:lncRNA from 1 species